GGGUUGUGAGGUUAAGCGACUAAGCGUACACGGUGGAUGCCCUGGCAGUCAGAGGCGAUGAAGGGCGUGCUAAUCUGCGAUAAGCGCCGGUAAGGUGAUAUGAACCGUUAUAACCGGCGAUACCCGAAUGGGGAAACCCAGUGUGAUUCGUCACACUAUCAUUAACUGAAUCCAUAGGUUAAUGAGGCGAACCGGGGGAACUGAAACAUCUAAGUACCCCGAGGAAAAGAAAUCAACCGAGAUUCCCCCAGUAGCGGCGAGCGAACGGGGAGGAGCCCAGAGCCUGAAUCAGCAUGUGUGUUAGUGGAAGCGUCUGGAAAGGCGCGCGAUACAGGGUGACAGCCCCGUACACAAAAGCGCAUGUGCUGUGAGCUCGAUGAGUAGGGCGGGACACGUGGUAUCCUGUCUGAAUAUGGGGGGACCAUCCUCCAAGGCUAAAUACUCCUGACUGACCGAUAGUGAACCAGUACCGUGAGGGAAAGGCGAAAAGAACCCCGGCGAGGGGAGUGAAAAAGAACCUGAAACCGUGUACGUACAAGCAGUGGGAGCCCCACCACCAAAGCAUUCUCUGGUGUUGAAGGCCCUGCAAAGCAGCAUCGCGGUGGCGGAGCGUCGUUUGCGACGCCCAACACACAAAACAAGCGGUGAAUGCUUUGGGGUGGGGUGACUGCGUACCUUUUGUAUAAUGGGUCAGCGACUUAUAUUCUGUAGCAAGGUUAACCGAAUAGGGGAGCCGGAGGGAAACCGAGUCUUAAUUGGGCGUUAAGUUGCAGGGUAUAGACCCGAAACCCGGUGAUCUAGCCAUGGGCAGGUUGAAGGUUGGGUAACACUAACUGGAGGACCGAACCGACUAAUGUUGAAAAAUUAGCGGAUGACCUGUGGCUGGGGGUGAAAGGCCAAUCAAACCGGGAGAUAGCUGGUUCUCCCCGAAAGCUAUUUAGGUAGCGCCUCGUGAAUUCAUCUCCGGGGGUAGAGCACUGUUUCGGCUAGGGGGCCAUCCCGGCUUACCAACCCGAUGCAAACUGCGAAUACCGGAGAAUGUUAUCACGGGAGACACACGGCGGGUGCUAACGUCCGUCGUGAAGAGGGAAACAACCCAGACCGCCAGCUAAGGUCCCAAAGUCAUGGUUAAGUGGGAAACGAUGUGGGAAGGCCCAGACAGCCAGGAUGUUGGCUUAGAAGCAGCCAUCAUUUAAAGAAAGCGUAAUAGCUCACUGGUCGAGUCGGCCUGCGCGGAAGAUGUAACGGGGCUAAACCAUGCACCGAAGCUGCGGCAGCGACGCUGAUGCGUUGUUGGGUAGGGGAGCGUUCUGUAAGCCUGCGAAGGUGACCUGUGAGGGUUGCUGGAGGUAUCAGAAGUGCGAAUGCUGACAUAAGUAACGAUAAAGCGGGUGAAAAGCCCGCUCGCCGGAAGACCAAGGGUUCCUGUCCAACGUUAAUCGGGGCAGGGUGAGUCGACCCCUAAGGC
rnacentral:rRNA from 1 species